UUUCAAACGCUUAUUUAUUAUUCCCAGACUCAAAGCACUGAAGAAAAGAAACGCGUAUGGGCAAACUGUGCCCCUAAUGACUACAAAUGUCUCUAUGGAUAAUAUUGAAGUAGACAGUAAACUGGCUGACAUUCUCUACUUAAAUUAAAAAAUUCAUUGUCUCAAAUCUAAUAAACUAUAUAUAAGGAAAUUUA
rnacentral:sRNA from 1 species